AUGCACUCACCUAAGGAUGCGAGCUAGCAGGUCUUGCAGCGGCUAUCACGCCCCUCACGCCGCUAUCUCUGUGCAGCCGACUGAGGAUCCCUAGUCGCACAAGGCUGUGCCUGGCCUGUUGGCGUCCCUGGCAGUUGUUGGGUUCUGGCGGUUGUUGGGUCCCUGGCAGUUGUUGGCGGUUGUUGUGUUCCUUCAUUGAACCUGCACUAACUGGGCUUCCAGUCAGCGUCAGUCAGCGGAUCCUUGGGCCAUGGGGCAGCCGCAGGUCUGUUAGGCCACCAGGGCGGCUCUCGUGCCAGUGAGGCCCCUGAGAGCCCUUUGGUCAGACAGAGGCUAAAUCUGAACAGUCAGGCGGUGAGAUUAAGCAUAGUCAGGGAGUUCGCCAGGAGCCAGCGUUCCUCAGCCUCACCACGUCAGUCACCUGGUCAGCCAGAAGGCAGCUGGGGCGACAUCCAUCUACCAAGAAGGUGAACAGGCCUUCACAAUGACCAGAGACAGAAGCCCCUGACUUGGCUAAAGAUACUUUCUGCUCUCCCUAUCCCCACAUCCUCUUUCAGUUACCCAUCGCCUCACUCCUUCUGAACCAUAUGGUUCUGAUGUCAGAGCCAGUGUAGUAAAGAGCUUCUGCUGUUCCUGAGAACUGUUGCUGCUGCAAGUGAUGCUUCCACUGCUACAGCUGGGUAAGUAAGGAAAGAGUUCUUUGGCUGCCCAGGCCUUCGUGAAAGGGCUGAUCCAGGGUGCUAUCUAUGCGGGAAUUGUAAUUGCGCUGCUCUUCCUCUGCCUCCUCCCUCUCAUAGUGAAACAUAUCAGAAAGAAGCAGGCGAAGAACGCUGCAGCGAUCAGAGCAAAAUAGAGCUCUAAAGUCAGAGCAAGCCAAGAACUUGAGAUGUCUCUGAAGCCUGAGGAACCAGGAAAACCCGUAGUCGCCACAUUUUCUGAGAGCCGGAUAUUGGAAAAGCAAGAUAAAUGAGCCAGCUAAGCCUGUGGAACAUGCAUCAU
rnacentral:sRNA from 1 species